CGGCGCGGCGUCUUUGAAGCGGCUUGGCAGGUGCCUGUGUCGGCGUGUUUCGCUACGCAUUUUACGUCGAGUGCACCUUUAACCUGCGGAACUGGUGCGGAAUCUCGGAGGUGAAGUCCAGUGCACGAUUCCAGACAUUGACCCUGCUGAUGCGUCCGUGGAAGCCACUGCCAGCGGUUGCUUUGUCUUCUUCAUUGAGAGGGGCGCCCAGGCUGACCCAUCCGCUGCAAACCAAGUUUUUCCUUUUGAGAGGUUCCCAGGGGGCAACGCUUGCAGGAAGACUGACGAGUCAGGUCCUGAUAGAAGCCUCUGCUGCAGAAUGUGCACUUCUCAUCCUUAGAGGCAAAGGUCCCGGCUGGGCAGUGGACUGCAUUCGAGCAUAUUAGAGGUGGCCAGGCAACGAUAGCCAGUGUUCUCCUCAUUUGGCAGGCAGUUCACCACCCCAUUGGUCGGUGGCGCCAGCGACCAUGCCACACAGGUUGUUGCCUGCACGGACACCUGAAGCCAACACAUAUAAGAAGCGCAGUUCAGUGGGACGCCCUACAACAUCAUUUGUGACGACGCCCUUGACGAGAAUGGCCUUGAUGUGGAAUAUUUUCUUCAUGUCCACCGUUACAACUGUCGCUCAAGGUAUUGGCCAACCGAUCUUCAAGCACAGAACACCAAGCGAAAGGGACAUAAGUGCAAAACAAUCUCAUGACAAACGGUGCACACAACUUCAUUGUCUGCUUCAGACGCCUGAGAAGCGGAGGGAAAAAAGAAUGUGGUCGAGUGUUGCCACAUGAUUUCCGGCCAUGAACUUCCAUGCUUGCGUUUC